rnacentral:rRNA from 1 species
UCCGGUUGAUCCUGCCAGAGGCCGCUGCUAUCCGGCUGGGACUAAGCCAUGGGAGUCAUGGGGCGCGGCCCCUCCGGGGUUCGCGCACCGGCGGACGGCUCAGUAACACGUGGCCAACCUGCCCUCGGGAGGGGGAUAACCCCGGGAAACUGGGGCUAAACCCCCAUAGGGGAUGGGUGGUGGAAUUCCCCCAUCCCCGAAAGUGUGCGGUUGCCGUAAGGCGCCGCACAGCCCGAGGAUGGGGCUGCGGCGGAUUAGGUAGUUGGCGGGGUAACGGCCCGCCAAGCCGAAGAUCCGUACGGGCCAUGAGAGUGGGAGCCCGGAGAUGGCCCCUGAGACAAGGGGCCAGGCCCUACGGGGCGCACCAGGCGCGAAACCUCCGCAAUGCGGGAAACCGCGACGGGGUCAGCCGGAGUGCCCGC